rnacentral:rRNA from 1 species
GAUGAACGCUGGCGGCGUGCCUAAUACAUGCAAGUCGAGCGAACGGACGAGAAGCUUGCUUCUCUGAUGUUAGCGGCGGACGGGUGAGUAACACGUGGAUAACCUACCUAUAAGACUGGGAUAACUUCGGGAAACCGGAGCUAAUACCGGAUAAUAUUUUGAACCGCAUGGUUCAAAAGUGAAAGACGGUCUUGCUGUCACUUAUAGAUGGAUCCGCGCUGCAUUAGCUAGUUGGUAAGGUAACGGCUUACCAAGGCAACGAUGCAUAGCCGACCUGAGAGGGUGAUCGGCCACACUGGAACUGAGACACGGUCCAGACUCCUACGGGAGGCAGCAGUAGGGAAUCUUCCGCAAUGGGCGAAAGCCUGACGGAGCAAUGCCGCGUGAGUGAUGAAGGUCUUCGGAUCGUAAAACUCUGUUAUUAGGGAAGAACAUAUGUGUAAGUAACUGUGCACAUCUUGACGGUACCUAAUCAGAAAGCCACGGCUAACUACGU